UGUAAGCGUAUACCAAAGUUGUUGCAGUUAAAACGCUCGUAGUCGGAAUUUGGCAGUUCCGGAUGUGUGCACGUCGUGUGCGCACUUCGCGGGGAUUGCUUUUGUGGUCUUGCGUAGGAUGAGGCACUUUUAUUAGUGAACGUCCUCACGCAACCACUUUUUACUGUGAGAAAAUCAGAGUGCUCAAAGCAGGCAUUUGCCGUGAAUGUAUUAGCAUGGAAUAAUAGAAUAGGACUUGGUUCUAUCUUGUUGGUUUGUUGGGACUGAGUAAUGAUUAAGAGGGACAGUUGGGGGCAUUUGUAUUUCGGUGCUAGAGGUGAAAUUCUUAGAUUACCGAAAGACAAACUGCUGCGAAAGCGUCUGCCAAGGAUGUUUUCAUUGA
rnacentral:rRNA from 1 species